AAGACUACAAAGCAGGAAUGGAUGCCUAAAGCUAAUGCAGAUACACUGGUAAGCUUAACAAUACCUGCAAAUACAUUGCCUAGCCUGCCUGUACAAUCUGUCCAACAUGAGGAGAAGAUGUAGAGGGUGCAGAUUAACACUGAUAUGAUUGCAAGUCAGAGGAAUGUAUUAGAUGACCCUGCCAAUCAGGAAAGUACUGCUAGUGGUGAUACAGAGAUUUUGGUUGACCAUGACAAGGGCAAGGCUGUUGCUGAUUUUCUUGAUGAUGGUAGGAGGGGACAACAGCU
rnacentral:lncRNA from 1 species